rnacentral:rRNA from 1 species
ACCUACGGGAGGCAGCAGUGGGGAAUCUUAGACAAUGGGCGCAAGCCUGAUCUAGCCAUGCCGCGUGAGCGAUGAAGGCCUUAGGGUUGUAAAGCUCUUUCGUGGGGGAAGAUAAUGACUGUACCCCAAGAAGAAGCCCCGGCUAACUCCGUGCCAGCAGCCGCGGUAAUACGGAGGGGGCUAGCGUUGUUCGGAAUUACUGGGCGUAAAGCGCACGUAGGCGGACUGGAAAGUCAGAGGUGAAAUCCCAGGGCUCAACCUUGGAACUGCCUUUGAAACUCCCAGUCUUGAGGUCGAGAGAGGUGAGUGGAAUUCCGAGUGUAGAGGUGAAAUUCGUAGAUAUUCGGAGGAACACCAGUGGCGAAGGCGGCUCACUGGCUCGAUACUGACGCUGAGGUGCGAAAGCGUGGGGAGCAAACAGGAUUAGAUACCCCGGU